AAAGGAUCUCUUUUGGGGACCCCUCCUCUGGAGUUUUGCAGGUAGCCCAGGAUGCAGAUAUAACAGAGCACCAGCCCCAGUACUGACGCCUGAGGGACACCACUCAUCACUGAUCUCCAACCAGACUGUGAACCAUUGGCCGUUACUCUCUGGAUAUCAUCAAGUGUGUCUUGGUGACUACAUCACCCAAUUCCUCUGGACUCUAGGAUGCAUCCAGUUCCUCAGAUGGUUGUGAACCUGAUCUUCAGUAACAGCAGGAGGGACGUUGCUCCUACAGUACCCAACUUACAAUCCAUCCACUGAAGGAGUGUAUGCAGAAUAGUCACCACAGAGAACUGAGACAGAAAAGCUGUUGAGCAACUCAGCCUUCUCCUUGUCUGCUGUUAUCAGCCUGCCUCUAUUGCUCACUAGGGGUUGGCACACCUCAGAAUUCCUUUUUCUAAAUUAUGUACCUGUAGAAGAUUUUUAAAUUCUUCUCCCCUCUUGGCAAUUCCAGUUCUAGUUAGGUCUUGGCCUUCCUGACCCUGUCUCUACACACCCUAGCAGCAUCCUUAUACUCCUCUCAGGGUACCUGUUCCUGCUUCCACUAAACUAUUUCUUAUAUAUGCAUAUAACUACUUAAAAAUGAACAAAGCCUGUACUCAGGCUUCCCUAUUCUCUUCCCCAUUGUGUAAGACAUUGCUACAAUGGAUCUGUCUGACAUUUUUAAUCUUCCAUGUAGACUAAUUGUGUAUGUACUAAAUGGGCAUGUUAGUUAUGUGUAUUUUGACACUUUUUAGAAUUAGGAUGUAAUGCAGCAGUUGUGUAGUGCACUAAGCUAUGUUCUUAAGGAGAAUGAACUUUAAAAAAAAAAAAAGGAAAAAGCAAAAACAACAAAAAAAUAAGUAAAAAUCCUCUUUUCACAAGUUAAAUCAGACUCCUUAACAGAUAAGUCAAGUGGAGUAAUCUUAUCUGAGGUGCUGGGGAAUUUCAUAACCAAUCCUUCUAGUUACCUUAGCUAGGAUAAAACUUCCAUGGUUUUAUUACUCUAGGUAAAAUAUAUACAUAGCUUACAUGGAAGCAUUUUGUUGUGUUGAAAAAUUCUUACAUUUUGUUAAAAUGUGCAAUUCUGCAUAAAAAUAAAUCA